UGGGAAGUGGGAGGGGGGUUGGAGCAGCCUCCGGAAAGCGCCGCCAACUGCACGGGUGCUCUCUUGCCCGGCGCGGCUAAAACGGGCUUGCUCAGAGGGGCCGGAGCUGCUGUUUUGCCGAGUGAAAAUACUUUCUGUAAGUGAUGAAAAAAUUUUCCACUUUAUUCGGUUGUUGGCUGGGGCCCAGUGCAUUGAAGUCCCAGAGUUCUUCGGGGAGGAGCCAGGAGGUUUACUGCAUCCUCCGACCUGUGUUUCGCGGGGAGAAGAGUUAAGAAGCCUGAGCAUUCUAACGCAGCUGGCGGAGCUUGAGAAAGUGACAAAGGCAGAGCUCGUGUGCGUGGCUCGGGGACUGAUGCCCCGCCUCUGAGCCGGGGACCAGAAAUGUGUCCAUUAAGGGACUGGUAAUGGCUGGGUUUAGCCUGGGACGGUUUCCCCAAGGAGGCGAUUUGAGAGGAGGCUGUAGGUGCCCGGCCUGGGACUGGAAGAGCAGUCCGGGAAGGGCCCAGGGGGCGUGGAGGGCGCUCCCACCGGCCACCAGGGGACAGGAGGCAGCAAAGGCGCCAGCAGCCCUCAGAGAUUCGCGGGGCUGUGAACUGCGCAGGGCCUGUGGCUCCUGGUCCCAGCUACAGUCAGCCAAUAAAAGAUACACGCAGGGGACCCCUUCCCUCCCCCCCACCUCCCCCGCCCCCGGAGCCAAUGGAAACCUACGCGCCUGCGGAGGAAUUGCCACCCGCCUGCGGAGGAAACAUUUUCGGACACCUGGCCAAGAGGCUUCCCUUGGGGGUUGCCUUUCCAGGAGCCCAGGACAGGUGUGUAUGAAGGACCAAAAUACCAGGAGCGUGUUCAAUUAGUCAUUCUUUUGGAUCAGAGCGCCUGCUGCUUGUAAAGCCACACACAGGCCAUUACAAACUGUGAGGGGGCGAAGAGCAAAGGCAAGAGGGCAGAGGGGAAGAAACGUGCUUCCUGCCCUGAGCAUCUCAGAGGGGCCUUUCCCCCUGUUGUAUGUCCUGCAUCAUGUUCCCUGCUGUAAAGGUUAGCGUCUUGUAUUUGUGUAAUGCUUUACAGUUUCAAACUGUAUGAUUUAUCUGGUAAUCACUGUAACCUAUAAGACAGGUAUUAUUACUCAUGUUUAACCAGCAGAGGAAGUGAUGCUCAGAUUAGCUAAACCCUACACCCGAAGUGAUACUGCCGUUAGUGAGGGCUGUGGGACUAGUACUCAGUGUUGUGGCUGCAAAUCCAGGGCUCUUUAAAUACAUCAAAGGAAGGAAACCAGGCCUGCUUUAUGAUUCUGGCGCCCAGGACACACCCAACAAUUCGAAUGAAAUCCAGAAGGACUAGGUUAAUUUCUUAGUCAUUGCUCCUUCAGAUCGUCCCCUUGCACCACAGGUGAGCUCCAGUAUUAUACACCUGUGUGUGAAGAAGGGGUUCCAUUGACUCGCUGCCAGGAAAGCCAGUCCUGGAGGUAAGAACAGAACGGGGGGAUGAACACGGGUCACCAGCUGUGGCUCCCUUCCUUAUCCACACUUAAUAGUGCCUGAGAAUCAGCAGAAGGACAGCUCCAUUCACGAGAGCCCAAAAGGGAAGGAAAACCACUGAUGGUAGGCAAAUGCUGUGUUGUGUGUAAGACCUUGGAGGAAUAUAGGGCAGGGAACUGAGAAUGGGUGGGAACUUUUUUUCACUAAAAUAAAAUGAAAGAGUCAGGACUCUAAACCAAGAUAAGGUCAGUGGCUUACAUUUACAUGACUUCUAUUCUGAUCAAUGGACCAUGUUUGCUUCACUGCUUUACUCUCUAGACGUGCACUGUUCCUACAGUAGCCACUAGCCAUGUGUGGAUGCUGAGCCCUGAAAUGUGGCUAGUCCAAAUCGAAAUGUGCUGUCCAUGUAAGAGUCACACUGGAAUUUGAAAGACUUGGGAAAAAGGACACAGCUGUCCCAUCCUGGGCAGGACAGCCGCUGGUCCAUGAGAUGGCUUUAUGCAAACUGAGAAAAGGAAAUCGCUCUGACUGAUGCAGCCUGGCACCCAAGGCCAUGCAAAAUGACUGCAAUUUGCAUGUACUGAAGUGAAAUUCUCAUUUGGUACCUGGAAGGGCAUCCAAGCGUAACAGAAUGUGGCAUCGGGCAUCAGGCGGGAAAUAAAAAUGCCCAGUAACCAAGACUGCUGUUGACAGAUUUUAACGACUCACAAGAGGAAUGAGGCUGCCUUGGGAUAUCAGGAUGUGCUCUGAGAAGUGGCUGACAGGAAGCGUAACUUCACAUUGCUUCCCUGCAUAUCCCGGAAGGGACAGGGUUCCAAGCAGGAAAGAUCACGAGUCAUGGCCAUAGGCCACCCAUGUCUUGGGAGGUCUGGAAGAUUCCCUUGCUCAGGGGAAGGGGGCCUCAUGGAUCAAAGAGUGACGUUCCCAACUUGGGUUCCUCUAGGCCAGCUACAAUCUGUCACUGGGAAUCUGGACGUCAUUAAGAUAAUAAAAUGAUGUUCGUGGAAACAUUA